CUACGGAGGAUCCAAGCGUUAUCCGGAAUCAUUGGGUUUAAAGGGUCCGUAGGCGGGUUUGUAAGUCAGUGGUGAAAGUUUUCGGCUCAACCGGAAAAUUGCCAUUGAUACUGCAAGUCUUGAAUUAUGGUGAAGUGAUUAGAAUGUGUAGUGUAGCGGUGAAAUGCAUAGAUAUUACACAGAAUACCGAUUGCGAAGGCAGAUCACUAACAAUAUAUUGACGCUAAGGGACGAAAGCGUGGGUAGCGAACAGAAUUAGAUACCCUAGUAGUCC
rnacentral:rRNA from 1 species